AAAAAAGUUCAUUCUGGGAACAUUAGGCAUGCAUGUAUAGAGGAAUGAAUCCAGACUCCUGUCUCUCACUGUUAAGACAAAUUGAAAUAGACUAAAUCUGUCAAUGUAAGACAUAAAGCCAUGCCAUGGAACAAUGAGAGAAAGCUGACAGACAAGUCUUAGAACACUGGGAUAGGAAAGGAAGCAAUGACUCUGAAGGGAAAUAGAUGAUGGUGUUUUGUCAAGUGAAAAGCUUCUGCACACAAAGGGAACAUGAGCAACCUACACAAGAGAAUGUCUACAGAUUGCAUAUCUGACGAAGAGUUAAUAUCCAGGCUAUGAAAUCAAAUCAGACUCAAGGAAAAAUCUAAGACAGAAGAACGACAAAAACUUGACUAAAACUGAUUAAAAUUAUUUUUCAAAAGAUGUACUCACAGUCAGUGGAUACAUGGAAAAGGGAGAUCAGAACCACAACAAGACAUCAUCUAAUUCCAGCAAGAUUUGCUAAUAUAAAAGUGGUGAGGAUAAUGAGGAAAUAGAAACAUGAUACGCCAAUGAUAGAGAUGUAAAAUUGGGCCACUAUAGAAAACAUUGUGGAUAUUUCAUAUACAUUCAACAAAGAGCUUCCACAGGCUCCAACCAUCUCAGUGUUGACUGUAUGUCCUUUGAUUACUAUAAGAAGUCACUAUGAGAAAAGGACACCACCACUCCCACAUUUAUUGCAAUUGUAUUCAGAAUAGUCAAGAAAUGGAAGGUACCUAAGUGGCUAUACACUAUUAAAUUGUUGAAGAAGAAUAAAGUCCUCUCAUUUGCAACAACUUUGUAUUAGACAUUUUCAUGUGCUGUUGCAAAAUAUUCAACAAAACAAAGGAGGAAGAGUUUAUAUUGUUUACCAGAGGUUUCAGUCCAAGGAAAUCUGAAACUGAUUCACUGUUCUGGGCUCAAAGCAAGGCAGUAUAUUGUGCCAGGAAUCUGUGCUAGAGUAUAGGUUUAUCAAAUCACUGGGGCCAAGUAGAGUGGGGGAGGAGAACAAAGAAGAGAAGAGAGGACAGGGGAGAUUAGAGACAGGAGAUGGGAGAAAGGAGAAAGGGGGAGAGAGAGAGAGAGAGAGAGAGAGA
rnacentral:lncRNA from 1 species